rnacentral:tRNA from 1 species
CAUUAAGAAGCUUUGAUAGCACCAGCCUUUUAAGCUGAGGAGGGAAACUAAUAUUUCCCUUAAUGA